GACGAACGCUGGCGGCGUGCUUAACACAUGCAAGUCGAACGGAAAGACCCUGCUCUUGUGGGUUGCUCGAUUGGCGAACGGGUGAGUAACACGUGUGUAACCUCCCCUUGACUUUGGGAUAACUUCAGGAAACUGGGGCUAAUACCGGAUAGGAGCUCCUGCUGCAUGGUGUGGGUUGGAAAGUUUCGGCGGUUGGGGAUGGACUCGCGGCUUAUCAGCUUGUUGGUGGAGUAGUGGCUUACCAAGGCUAUGACGGGUAGCCGGCAUGAGAGGGUGACCGGCCACAUUGGGACUGAGAUACGGCCCAGACUCCUACGGGAGGCAGCAGUGGGGAAUAUUACACAAUGGGCGGAAGCCAGAGGCAGCAACGCCGGGUGCGGAAUGCCGGGCUUCGGGUUGUAAACCGCUUUCGACUGUGACGAAGCGUGAGUGACGGUAAUGGGUAAAGAAGCACCGGCUAACUACGUG
rnacentral:rRNA from 1 species